GCCAUGCCGCGUGUGUGAAGAAGGCCUUCGGGUUGUAAAGCACUUUCAGUAAGGAGGAAAGGUUAAGUGUUAAUACCACUUAGCUGUGACGUUACUUACAGAAGAAGCACCGGCUAACUCCGUGCCAGCAGCCGCGGUAAUACGGAGGGUGCGAGCGUUAAUCGGAAUUACUGGGCGUAAAGCGUACGCAGGCGGUUUGUUAAGCGAGAUGUGAAAGCCCCGGGCUCAACCUGGGAACUGCAUUUCGAACUGGCAAACUAGAGUGUGAUAGAGGGUGGUAGAAUUUCAGGUGUAGCGGUGAAAUGCGUAGAGAUCUGAAGGAAUACCGAUGGCGAAGGCAGCCUCCUGGGUCAACACUGACGCUCAUGUACGAAAGCGUGGGGAGCAAACAGGAUUAGAUACCCUGGUAGUCCACGCCGUAAACGAUGUCUACUAGAAGCUCGGGUCUUCGGACUUGUUUUUCAAAGCUAACGCAUUAAGUACACCGCCUGGGGAGUACGGCCGCAAGGUUAAAACUCAAAUGAAUUGACGGGGGCCCGCACAAGCGGUGGAGCAUGUGGUUUAAUUCCAUGCAACGCGAAGAACCUUACCUACACUUGACAUACAGAGAACUUACCAGAGAUGGUUUGGUGCCUUCGGGAACUCUGAUACAGGUGCUGCAUGGCUGUCGUCAGCUCGUGUUGUGAGAUGUUGGGUUAAGUCCCGCAACGAGCGCAACCCC
rnacentral:rRNA from 2 species